UCUCGAGCGUUGUUCGGAUUCAUUGGGCGUAAAGGGUGCGUAGGUGGCUAGGUAAGUCGGAUGUGAAAUCCCGGGGCUCAACCCCGGAACUGCAUUCGAUACUGCCUGGCUAGAGUACUGGAGAGGAGAUUGGAAUUUACGGUGUAGCAGUGAAAUGCGUAGAUAUCGUAAGGAAGACCAGUGGCGAAGGCGGAUCUCUGGACAGUUACUGACACUGAGGCACGAAGGCCAGGGGAGCAAACGGG
rnacentral:rRNA from 1 species